rnacentral:SRP_RNA from 1 species
GCCGGGUGUGGUGGUGUGUACCUGUAAUCCCAGCUACUCAGGAGGCUGAGGCGGGAGAAUUGCUUGAGCCCAGGAAGCGGAGGUUGCAGUGAGCAAGAUCACACCACUAUACUUUAGCCUGGGCGACAGAGCAAGACUCUGUCUCAA